rnacentral:rRNA from 1 species
GACGAACGCUGGCGGCGUGCCUAAUACAUGCAAGUCGAGCGGAGCUUAUCCUUCGGGGUAAGCUUAGCGGCGGACGGGUGAGUAACCCGUAGGCAACCUACCCUGUAGACUGGGAUAACUACCGGAAACGGUAGCUAAUACCGGAUAAUUCCUUUCUUCUCCUGAAGAAAGGAUGAAAGGCGGAGCAAUCUGCUACUAGAGGAUGGGCCUGCGGCGCAUUAGCUAGUUGGUGGGGUAACGGCCCACCAAGGCGACGAUGCGUAGCCGACCUGAGAGGGUGAACGGCCACACUGGGACUGAGACACGGCCCAGACUCCUACGGGAGGCAGCAGUAGGGAAUCUUCCGCAAUGGGCGAAAGCCUGACGGAGCAACGCCGCGUGAGUGAUGAAGGUUUUCGGAUCGUAAAGCUCUGUUGCCAGGGAAGAACGUCCGGUAGAGUAACUGCUACCGGAGUGACGGUACCUGAGAAGAAAGCCCCGGCUAACUACGUGCCAGCAGCCGCGGUAA